rnacentral:rRNA from 1 species
UGUAAAACGAAUUUAAGUUCUACCUCAGCCCCUUCCCCAAGACAAACCAACCAAGUCCCCAUGCAAUGGGCUAAGAGCUAUUUAAAGGGGGUACAGCCCCUUUAAAAAAGGAUACAACCUCCACCAGUGGAUAACCCCGCCCCAACCCAACCCCCGUGGGCCUUAAAGCAGCCACCCUUAAAGAACGCGUCAAAGCUCCACAGACCAAAAAAUCCAAAAACAACGUAAAUCCCUGAACCCAUAACAGGUCAACCUACAACAGUAGAUGAAUCAAUGCUAAAACGAGUAACCAGGACACCAAGUCCCCUAAAGCGCCAACCUAAACACCAUUAACAGCACAAUCACAAUACCAAACCCUCGACUAAACAUUGAACACAUCCUGUCAGACCAACCCGGGAGCGCACACUAGGAGGAUUAAAAUCUGCAAAAGGAACUCGGCAAACCUAAGACCCGACUGUUUACCAAAAACAUAGCCUUCAGCCGAACAAGUAUUGAAGGUGAUGCCUGCCCAGUGACACACGUUUAACGGCCGCG